rnacentral:lncRNA from 1 species
UGGCAUUUGGACAUCUUUGUCCCCCUACACUUGAGUCAUGCUCUGUCCGUGCUCAGGGCUGCGCCUGUUUUCAGUGCAUUCACAUUUCUAUCACUUUGAGGUCUGGGCUCGGCCCAGCAGUGGGAUGGGUAGAUUGGGAGGCCCAGGAUCUGGACUGGAUCUGUCAGCUGGAGUGUGGCAGGCGCUUGAGGAAUGAGCAGCAGCAGGUAGCAGGACAGCACCUGGUCUGACUAAGAGAAGACAGUCUCCGGGAAGAGCAGAGCAAUGACUCAGGUUAUAGACAAGGUUACAGUGAGUCUUGAAGGACUAACAUGAUGUCGCAGGAUGCCCUGCGAGGCAGGCGGAGCCCUACUGUAAUAGAAAUCCAGGGAAUUAGCAUCAGAUAAGCAUCAGCUGGUUGCAGGGCACCAAUCACUAGACUGUGCCUCUUGGGCAGACUCUGGUCUUGGGGGUAGGACAGUACCAGCGGGAAGAAGGCAAAUGCCCAGGUUUGCGUGGAGAGGGAGCCAGGCAGACGUAAGCACAUCAGAGACCAAGUCAAACCUGUCAUCAGAACCAGCUCACAGGCUCCUGUAGCCUAGAAGAAAGAGUGGGUUGGGAGUAAUCCUGGAAUGUUGAUCUUCAAGGUCAAAUGCCCCUCUACAAGGUCAGGGGUUGGUCCUAAAGACCAAAGUUCCAGGUCACACAUGGCAAAAGCCCUAAACCCAGGGAAGUGGCUUCAAUCUGCGCUCUCCACGGUCAGGAAGAGGGCCUUCAUUCACGUGGCAAACAUCUUCUGAGCACUCAGAUGUGUCAGGCGCUGAGUCACAAUGGAGAAUAGUCCCCGCCCUCAAGGAGCCCUGAGAAACAAGCCUCCUUUGACCGACUGUUGGUGAGCAACCACUGAAGCAGGAUUCUUUACAGCACCUCUGGCGCAAUCCUCACAGACUGGAGACCAGCCUCCACGCAGGACCUGCCGACACACUUCGUUACGCUCUGCACAGCAAAGCACAUACGCAGUAAAGUGCGCAAGUCUUGAGGAAACAUCUUGAUGGCUUUAUAAACCCAUCAACACAGUGUUUUAAAAGUCAGUUAUUAACUUUUCUCGUGAAAAAAGUCCCUGGAAUGUAAAAAUUUAUUCCGAGCAACAGCACACACCAAACCUCCCUCACCGCUGCCGGCUUUCCAUCUCAGAUUCUGAUGGUGUGGAGACGAAAGGCUGAGGGCUCUCCCGGAGCUCACCUUCCAUCUGCGAAAGCCACUGCCGGGACAAUUCUUUCCCCAGAGAGAAGGCAUCCUCUUGGGCACAGAAGCGAGAUUGUCUAACAGUGUCCCAGAGCUCUCCGUACCUCAGUUUCCCGAUCUGCGCCUGCCAUACAUGGUGGUCCUACUGCUGGUUUGAAAAGUAUGCUACAAAUAUGAAGAGAUAAUCAGCAAGGCUCCUUGGAUAAGGUUAUUAUAUUCAAGUCUUGCCAAAAAAUGUAAGAAAAAAAACUCCAAUUUGAUGGGAUCCAGAGGAACAAUUAUGCUUUCUAAAAAUAAGAUGAGCCGAAGCUAAGGAAAUGAAAACGUUUCUAAAGAAGAAGGUCAGGACUUCUUUUGUGGCCUCCUUUCAUCGCUGGGUUAUUCACUGUAAUAGUAGCCUGCCAUUUCAAACUAUGACUCAGGGGCCUGGUCAUGGGUUACAGAGCAUUUCAUCUGUGGUCACCCCACCUGCCCACGAGAAAUUGAUGGUUAGCGACUACGGAGCAGGUUACUCACUGAAUAUUAUUCUCCACCGUAACCUCCUGACCCUUGCCUCAUCGAAAAGAUUGGUGCUAUUCUGCUUUUACCUACAGAGAAAGAGCAAGGAGGAGAUAAAAUAGGACCUUGAUAUUCGGGGUUGUGGCUCAUUUCUGAAGGUCGGACAUGAAAAGCUGUUUCGAAUUUUGCCCCAUUCGUUCUUAAAACCGCAGCCCAGGAAUUUAUAAGCAUAGCUGCCCUUUAUCUCUCCCAAGAAUGAAAUUGCUUUCUCCAAUAGAGUUUAAAGGGAUGAAUUAAUUGGUGUUUUUGGCAGGAGUACUCUAUAAUUGCAAAGUACUCUGAGUAUCACCAUAUAGUUUUUUCCUUAGAUGGUCCAUUAGGAGGAACUAUGGCAUUCCCAAAGCUAUUCUUUAAUUAGGUCAGCAGCAUCUGCCAAGAAUCCGCUCUCCUCUCAGACCAGGUUUAAUCACAGUGACAAGUGACUUUCAAGUUUAUACCCACACACUCUUAGAUUUCUGAUUUGCCCUAGAAGAAGGUUCUGAUCACAGUGUUCUGAGCGCUGGCCCCUGGGCCUGACUUCCCUGUCUGUCUGGAUUUGGGAUUUUUGGCCUGCCCUUACCUUGUGACUUGCCCCCCUGGAUUGCUGACCCAUUCUUGACCUCUGACAACAGCACGCUCCUUAACAUCUGUUCUACCUGCAUAGAGCCUGGUCUUCCGCCCGAUUCUUAAUUCUGAUUAUUAGGCUCCUGGACCAGGCCAAUUCUCACAGCCUAAGGAGGAUGAAGAUGUCCUUAGACUAAAAUGGCCAAGACCAGAGCUCAUGAAUGACAAGGACAAACAACCCAAGGACUCAGUGAUCAUACAAAUGUCCAAAUGGGGGGCACAUGAAUUGCUGUAAGGCCUUAGAUUUCACAUAUUAUAUAUAUGAGGUUCAUAUAUUACAGUUAGUUACAGGACACUAAUGAGAGACAGACUUUUCAAACCUAGGUCACAGAACACUGAGCAUAGCCCUCAAAAUGCACCCUGGAUCACACAGCAAAAGAUACGCAGUCACGGAAUUGCUGCUGGGCCAAUGUGUCAAUCACGC